CCUAAGCGAUGGGGUGACGCAGGAAGGUAGCUGGGCCAGUCAGUGGUUGUACUGGUGUAAGAGUGUAGGCCGUGACAUAGGCAAAUCCGUGUCACAUUAAGGCUGAGACUUGAUGCAUACCCGUUGUGGGGAAUUCAGUGAUCCUAUGCUGCCGAGAAAAGCCUCUAGUGAGUUCAUACACGGCCCGUACCCCAAACCGACACAGGUGAUCAGGUAGAGAAUACCAAGGCGAUCGAGAGAACUGUGGUUAAGGAACUCGGCAAAAUGCCCCCGUAACUUCGGGAGAAGGGGGACCAUGCCCGGUGAACAUCUUCACGGUGGGAGCUGGGUGUGGUCGCAGAGACCAGAGAGAAGCGACUGUUUACUAAAAACACAGGUCCGUGCGAAGACGUAAGUCGAUGUAUACGGACUGACGCCUGCCCGGUGCUGGAAGGUUAAGAGGACCGGUUAGCCGUAAGGCGAAGCUGAGAAUUUAAGCCCCAGUAAACGGCGGUGGUAACUAUAACCAUCCUAAGGUAGCGAAAUUCCUUGUCGGGUAAGUUCCGACCUGCACGAAUGGCGUAACGACUUCUCUGCUGUCUCGACCACAGACUCGGCGAAAUUGCACUACGAGUAAAGAUGCUCGUUACGCGCGGCAGGACGAAAAGACCCCGGGACCUUUACUAUAGCUUGGUAUUGGCGUUCGAUUCGGUUUGUGUAGGAUAGGUGGGAGACUGUGAAGCAUGCACGCCAGUGUGUGUGGAGUCGUUGUUGAAAUACCACUCUGAUCGUAUUGGACGUCUAACCUCGGCCCAUGAUCUGGGUUAGGGACAGUGCCUGGUGGGUAGUUUAACUGGGGCGGUUGCCUCCUAAAGAGUAACGGAGGCGCCCAAAGGUUCCCUCAGCCUGGAUGGCAAUCAGGUGUUGAGUGCAAGUGCACAAGGGAGCUUGACUGUGAGACUGACACGUCGAGCAGGGACGAAAGUCGGGACUAGUGAUCCGGCACCGGCAAGUGGAAGCGGUGUCGCUCAACGGAUAAAAGGUACCCCGGGGAUAACAGGCUGAUCUUCCCCAAGAGUCCAUAUCGACGGGAUGGUUUGGCACCUCGAUGUCGGCUCGUCGCAUCCUGGGGCUGGAGUAGGUCCCAAGGGUUGGGCUGUUCGCCCAUUAAAGCGGCACGCGAGCUGGGUUUAGAACGUCGUGAGACAGUUCGGUCUCUAUCCGCCGCGCGCGUAAGAAACUUGAGGAAGGCUGUCCCUAGUACGAGAGGACCGGGACGGACGAACCUCUGGUGUGCCAGUUGUUCCACCAGGAGCAUGGCUGGUUAGCUACGUUCGGAAGGGAUAACCGCUGAAAGCAUCUAAGCGGGAAGCCUGUUCCAAGAUGAGGUUUCUCACCACCUUGCGUGGUUAAGGCCCCCUACAGACCAUGGGGUUGAUAGGCCGGAACUGGAAGCGCAGCAAUGCGUGGAGGUGACCGGUACUAAUAGGCCGAGGGCUU
rnacentral:rRNA from 1 species